AUUGAACGCUGGCGGCAGGCCAAACACAUGCAAGUCGAGCGGAUGAAGGGAGCUUGCUCCUGGAUUCAGCGGCGGACGGGUGAGUAAUGCCUAGGAAUCUGCCUGGUAGUGGGGGAUAACGUCCGGAAACGGGCGCUAAUACCGCAUACGUCCUGAGGGAGAAAGUGGGGGAUCUUCGGACCUCACGCUAUCAGAUGAGCCUAGGUCGGAUUAGCUAGUUGGUGGGGUAAAGGCCUACCAAGGCGACGAUCCGUAACUGGUCUGAGAGGAUGAUCAGUCACACUGGAACUGAGACACGGUCCAGACUCCUACGGGAGGCAGCAGUGGGGAAUAUUGGACAAUGGGCGAAAGCCUGAUCCAGCCAUGCCGCGUGUGUGAAGAAGGUCUUCGGAUUGUAAAGCACUUUAAGUUGGGAGGAGGGGCAGUAAGUUAAUACCUUGCUGUUUUGACGUUACCAACAGAAUAAGCACCGGCUAACUUCGUG
rnacentral:rRNA from 1 species